CCAAGUUGGCAGGAUCGGCUCCGUCAGUUUCCUUCUGUUUUCGCUACGCGCGCGGUUCCAACUUCAAGAUCGAGCGAGAGCGAGAGAGAGAGAGAGAGAGCUCCGAUGUUUCGUUUCCACUUCCAGAUAUCUUCGGACAAAAUGUAGAAAGAUCAGGAGUUCCUGCUGCGAGUAACAGAUUCUACACACACACACCCACAAACAAACAAAAAAAAGUGUUUUGGUGAAAGGGACAAGGUGCAGCCAAGAAUUGUAGCUACUGAUUCCUUCGAUGCAUGCACAUAUUAGAUAGGACAUCAAUUUUAAGGUGGAUUUCAUAGGCGAGUCAGGGUUUGCAUACCUUGGCAAGACAUGAAUGGCAAAUUCGAUCUCAUCCUUCUGCGUUAUGCAAUUUUACAGUCACCGGCCGCCACCCAACCAGCCACAAGCGGCAGUGAUGCAGAUAAUACGUCUCGACAGUCACCAGAACUAACAGGAGCUUGUCAUGCCCACAGGACCAGGAAUGGAGCAUCUUUAGGCUAGAACCCACCUUGGAUUGUUGAAGGCAAGUACAGAGGUCUUCCUGUCUGUGAUUUAUACACCCAGCAAUCCAGCUUCGCUUCCGGGACGAGAUUCCCUAGUCCUUGUUGAGCUUGAUCACCAAUUUUCUUAACUAGGAUACAAAAUGGAAACCCUAAACGCGGUCUUCAAUUUUUUAGAGCCAACAAAUCCAAACGCACCUUUCACAAAGCCA